UCUAAGCAUGAAGCCCCCCUUGAGAUGAGAUUUCCCUUUGUAGAGAUGCCUCUGAGACGAAGAGGUUGAUAGGUCCGGUGUGGAAGCGUGGCGACACGUGCAGCAGACGGAUACUAAUCCAUCGAGAUCUUCUCU
rnacentral:rRNA from 1 species